rnacentral:rRNA from 1 species
AUUGAACGCCGGCGGCAUGCCUUACACAUGCAAGUCGAACGGCAGCACGGGUGCUUGCACCUGGUGGCGAGUGGCGAACGGGUGAGUAAUAUAUCGGAACGUACCUUAUUGUGGGGGAUAACGCAGCGAAAGCUGUGCUAAUACCGCAUAAUCCCUAAGGGGGAAAGCGGGGGACCGUAAGGCCUCGCGCAAUUAGAGCGGCCGAUACCUGAUUAGCUAGUUGGUGAGGUAAAGGCUCACCAAGGCAACGAUCAGUAGCUGGUCUGAGAGGACGAUGAGCCACACGGGGACUGGGACACGGCCCAGACUCCUACGGGAGGCAGCAGUGGGGAAUUUUGGACAAUGGGGGCAACCCUGAUCCAGCAAUGCCGCGUGAGUGAAGAAGGCCUUCGGGUUGUAAAGCUCUUUUGUCAGGGAAGAAACAGCAGCUCUAACACAGUUUGCGAAUGACGGUACCUGAAGAAUAAGCACCGGCUAACUACGUGCCAGCCGCCGCCGUAA